rnacentral:rRNA from 1 species
CCUACGGGUGGCAGCAGUAGGGAAUAUUGCUCAAUGGGCGAAACCCUGACGCAGCAACGCCGCGUGGAGGAUGAAGGUUUUCGGAUGGUAAACUCCUUUUGUUAGAGAAGAUAAUGACGUUAUCUAAUGAAUAAGCACCGGCUAACUCCGUGCCAGCAGCCGCGGUAAUACGGAGGGUGCAAGCGUUACUCGGAAUCACUGGGCGUAAAGAGCGCGUAGGCGGGAUGGCAAGUCAGAUGUGAAAUCCUAUGGCUAAACCAUAGUACUGCAUUUGAAACUGUCAUACUAGAGUGUGGGAGAGGUAAGUGGAAUGCUUGGUGUAGGGGUAAAAUCCGUAGAGAUCAGGAGGAAUAGUAGUUGCGAAGGCGACCUGCUAGAACAUAACUGACGCUGAUGAGCGAAAGCGUGGGUAGCAAACAGGAUUAGAUACCCGGGUAGUC